AGAAAAUUUAAUUUUAGCUAAAAUUUGCUUUCUGCAAACUAGAAUCGUGCAAAAUGAUUUCCUAUCAAGAGUUUUUGAUCAUGAUGUACAUGAUGAUAUUAAUCAUCGCAAGCUUGAUGACUGAAGCCGAUGCGUAUAAUUGUACAACAAUCUACGAUUGCCCCCGAAGAUCCGAUGCAUGUUAUAGAGGUCGGUGCGUCAUGUAUGCUGCGUAAAAAAUAAAGGACAAAAGAUCAUCUUGCCAUGUCAAAUCAUCACGACGACAUCAUGCCAUUUUGAAAACCCUAAUUCACCUAAAACACAGAUUGUAAAUAAUUUCUGCUCACCAGAGGAAUUGGCUUUGUGCAAUGCAUAUUAAGACCUUCAUAUUCAAUUCAUUUUAAUUAGUAGCUAAUACCAGAAUAAUAUAUAAAUACAUGCUGAAUAAAUUCAUGGCAACAA